rnacentral:rRNA from 1 species
AGAGUUUGAUCAUGGCUCAGGACGAACGCUGGCGGCGUGCCUAAUACAUGCAAGUUGAACGAUGAUUUCUGGUACUUGUAUCAGAAUGAAGAGUAGCGAACGGGUGAGUAACGCGUGGGUAACCUACCUCUUAGCGGGGGACAACUAUUGGACAACGAUAGCUAAUACCGCAUAACAAUAUUAAACACAUGUUUAAUAUUUGAAAGUACCAAUUGGUACACUAGGAGAUGGACCCGCGUUGUAUUAGCUAGUUGGUAGUGUAAUGGACUACCAAGGCGAUGAUACAUAGCCGACCUGAGAGGGUGAUCGGCCACAUUGGGACUGAGACACGGCCCAAACUCCUACGGGAGGCAGCAGUAGGGAAUCUUCGGCAAUGGACGAAAGUCUGACCGAGCAACGCCGCGUGAGUGAAGAAGGUUUUCGGAUCGUAAAACUCUGUUGUUAGAGAAGAACGUUGUGUAGAGUGGAAAAUUACACAAGUGACGGUAUCUAACCAGAAAGGGACGGCUAACUACGUGCCAGCAGCCGCGGUAAUACGUAGGCCCCGAGCGUUGUCCGGAUUUAUUGGGCGUAAAGCGAGCGCAGGUGGUUUAAUAAGUCUGAUGUAAAAGGCAGUGGCUCAACCAUUGUGUGCAUUGGAAACUGUUAGACUUGAGUGCAGUAGAGGAGAGUGGAAUUCCAUGUGUAGCGGUGAAAUGCGUAGAUAUAUAGAGGAACACCGGUGGCGAAAGCGGCUCUCUGGACUGUAACUGACACUGAGGCUCGAAAGCGUGGGUAGCAAACAGGAUUAGAUACCCUGGUAGUCCACGCCGUAAACGAUGAGUGCUAGUUGUUUGGGGCUAUCCAGCCCUAAGUGACGCAGCA